rnacentral:misc_RNA from 1 species
CUGCUAUUUCCUAGCUCUUUAUAUCCAAAAUUUCACUUCUCAAUCCUCGGAAGUCCAUACCCACUCCCGUGAAUGAAAAAUCCAGCCAAACGUUUCCCAAAAUGGCCUCUCAUGAAACAACACCAAUUCAAAAUUCAUCAUCCUUUCUUUCUACCAGCACUAUUGUCGCCCUCUGCGUCUUCUUUGCUCUCCUCUGUGCUUGUAUCGUCAUAGGUCACCUCCUUGAAGAGAACCGCUGGGCUAAUGAGUCUAUCACUGCCCUUCUUUUGGGGUUGUGUGCUGGUGCCAUCGUUUUGCUUAUUGAAAAAGGGCAGGAUUCGCGGUUAUUAGCGUUCAGUGAGGAUUUGUUCUUCCUUUAUUUGCUUCCUCCUAUCAUUUUCAAUGCUGGGAAUGAUCUCUUUCUGCCUCAAAUUUGAACUUUGAUCGGUUGCUUCAAAGUUGGUUGAGAUUCCAGGUCAAGUAAAAGCAGUUCUACAAGAAUUUCACUACAAUUUUGUUGUUUGGAAUACUUGGCACAGU